rnacentral:rRNA from 1 species
UUGCACGCUGGCGGCAGGCCUAACACAUGCCAGUCGAGCGGAUGAAGGGAGCUUGCUCCUGGAUUCAGCGGCGGACGGGUGAGUAAUGCCUAGGAAUCUGCCUGGUAGUGGGGGAUAACGUCCGGAAACGGGCGCUAAUACCGCAUACGUCCUGAGGGAGAAAGUGGGGGAUCUUCGGACCUCACGCUAUCAGAUGAGCCUAGGUCGGAUUAGCUAGUUGGUGGGGUAAAGGCCUACCAAGGCGACGAUCCGUAACUGGUCUGAGAGGAUGAUCAGUCACACUGGAACUGAGACACGGUCCAGACUCCUACGGGAGGCAGCAGUGGGGAAUAUUGGACAAUGGGCGAAAGCCUGAUCCAGCCAUGCCGCGUGUGUGAAGAAGGUCUUCGGAUUGUAAAGCACUUUAAGUUGGGAGGAAGGGCAGUAAGUUAAUACCUUGCUGUUUUGACGUUACCAACAGAAUAAGCACCGGCUAACUUCGU